rnacentral:tmRNA from 1 species
GGGGGCGAAUGGCUUCGACCGGAUGUCGGAGAUUCAGGUUGCAUGUCCAGGAUGCCGGUUGGCCUGGUUAAUCAUCCGGUACUUAAACCUAAUUGGCAACUAUCAGUUGCGCAUGGCCGCCUAAUUAGGCGACCCGUCCUGCCGGGCUUUGCCUGUGGGUCCGGCAAGGGCGUCAAACAGCAGGCUGGCUGAGUCGGGCUUCCGGACCGAUGAGGCGAGAACCUCCCGGAAUAGUCGAAUCAAGAGCCUGUCGCUCGGCGCUUGGUGAGGUGAAUCUCAAUGGAGCGACUACACAUGUAGACGCCUGGUUCAAAGCAUCACGGGACGGGGGUUCGAAUCCCCCCGCCUCCAUUG